AUUGAGUAACCAUCAGAAAGGAGGAACUAGAUGUAUUCCAGUGAGAGACGUUACCAGGAGGAAGAAACUAUAGUUCAUGGUACUCAAGGGGGUCUCUGACCAAAAAAGGAUUAAGAAGAAUUGAGGCAAAAGGUGGAGUCACCCAGGCUGGAGUGUAGUGGUGCCAUCUCAGCUCACUGCAACAUCUACUUCCCAGGUUCAAGCAAUUCUCCUGCAUCAGCCUCCCAAGUAGCUGGAAUUACAGGCACACAACAAGACAUUCUCCAGAUCACCUGGCAUCUAUCUGGGGCCACAAGGUUUUUUUCUGCCAACGGAAUAUGUGCAGAAGUGAUGUAUAUGACCUCAGAGCCCAGCCUCUAAAUAUCCUGUGUCAUGCUCCACAUUCUGUCCAUUCAUCUCUCAGUUAACUAAAUAGAAGUGAUGCAAGGGAGGACUCCAAGGAAGCCCUAGGGAUCAUGAAGCUACAGAAUGGGAGAAUUGCUGUCACCACAGUUCUGGAAGAAGAAUUGUUCAGGAGAACAGCCAUUGGACUAUGGCAUGCCAAAGAAAUAAACCUCUGUUGUGAAACCACAAUUAAAAG
rnacentral:lncRNA from 1 species